rnacentral:rRNA from 1 species
GCAAGAUUAAAACUCAAAGGAAUAGACGGGGACCCGCACAAGCGGUGGAGCAUGUGGUUUAAUUCGACGAUACGCGAAGAACCUUACCUGGCCUUGACAUAGAAAGAAUCUUUUAGAGAUAGAAGAGUGCUAGUUUACUAGAACUUUCAUACAGGUGCUGCACGGCUGUCGUCAGCUCGUGUCGUGAGAUGUUGGGUUAAGUCCCGCAACGAGCGCAACCCUCGUGUUUAGUUACUAACAGUUCGGCUGAGGACUCUAAACAGACUGCCUGGGUAACCAGGAGGAAGGUGAGGACGACGUCAAGUCAUCAUGGCCCUUACGGCCAGGGCUACACACGUGCUACAAUGGGGUAUACAAAGAGCAGCAAUACGGUGACGUGGAGCAAAUCUCAUAAAAUAUCUCCCAGUUCGGAUUGAAGUCUGCAACUCGACUUCAUGAAGUUGGAAUCGCUAGUAAUCGUAGAUCAGCAAUGCUACGGUGAAUACGUUCCCGGGUCUUGUACUCACCGCCCGUCACACCAUGGGAAUUGAAUUCAUUCGAAGCGGGGAUGCUAAAAUAGCUACCUUCCACAGUGGAUUUAGUAACUAGGGUGAAGUCGUAACAAGGUA